UACGUAGGGGGCAAGCGUUAUCCGGAUUUACUGGGUGUAAAGGGAGCGUAGACGGUUAAUCAAGUCAGAAGUGAAAACCCAGGGCUCAACCUUGGGAAUGCUUUUGAAACUGAGUAGCUAGAGUGCAGGAGAGGUAAGCGGAAUUCCUAGUGUAGCGGUGAAAUGCGUAGAUAUUAGGAGGAACACCAGUGGCGAAGGCGGCUUACUGGACUGUAACUGACGUUGAGGCUCGAAAGCGUGGGGAGCAAACAGG
rnacentral:rRNA from 1 species